CAAGAGUAUACGCCCGAACAGGCGAUCGUAGCGUGGUGGGAGCCUAUGGUUAGUACCGCAUACAGAAGGUGCAUACCGUGCUCUACAACUGAGCGUGAUAUUUUUUCAACAUUGACCUCGGGCUGCACUUUGUGUUGCUCGGCUUCUUUUAGUCCGAGAAUGAUAUGCCGAGAGAUAAUGAAGCGUUUGGUCGGCUUCCAUAUGUGGCGACACCCUCGCCCCAGUUUCACAACCAUGGAAAAUGGCACGAGAUCGGUGUGAGGUUGUUCGCUGCGCUCGUUCGAAAGCAGGCCGAAGAGUGAUAAGAAGAUGAGCGGAGAGGAACAUGGAGGCCUUGUUGAUCGCCUUCUUCGUGAUUGGCUUGGCGAUGGUCUUGCUCAGCGUCCGCUGCUGUUGGGUUCUAAUGAAGAUCUGGACAGUGCGACCACCGUCCAACACGAUCCAGGAACAGGAACUGCCAGAAGAUCGUGACGAUCGACAAGUCGAGUUCUCGGAAUGGACAAACGCGGUCACGUGAAGGCUCCGCUGAGGUAACGCAUCUCUGCGUUGCGUGAACGCAUAGGUGCUUAAAGCCAGAAAUCAACAC